GAUGAACGCUGGCGGCGUGCCUAAUACAUGCAAGUCGAGCGAACGGACGAGAAGCUUGCUUCUCUGAUGUUAGCGGCGGACGGGUGAGUAACACGUGGAUAACCUACCUAUAAGACUGGGAUAACUUCGGGAAACCGGAGCUAAUACCGGAUAAUAUUUUGAACCGCAUGGUUCAAAAGUGAAAGACGGUCUUGCUGUCACUUAUAGAUGGAUCCGCGCUGCAUUAGCUAGUUGGUAAGGUAACGGCUUACCAAGGCAACGAUGCAUAGCCGACCUGAGAGGGUGAUCGGCCACACUGGAACUGAGACACGGUCCAGACUCCUACGGGAGGAAGCAGUAGGGAAUCUUCCGCAAUGGGCGAAAGCCUGACGGAGCAACGCCGCGUGAGUGAUGAAGGUCUUCGGAUCGGAAAACUCUGUUAUUAGGGAAGAACAUAUGUGUAAGUAACUGUGCACAUCUUGACGGUACCUAAUCAGAAAGCCACGGCUAACUACGGG
rnacentral:rRNA from 1 species